rnacentral:rRNA from 1 species
AUUGAACGCUGGCGGCAGGCCUAACACAUGCAAGUCGACCGAGUGGCGGACGGGUUCGUAAUGUCUGGGAAACUGCCCGAUGGAGGGGUAUAACUACUGGAAACGUUAGCUAAUACCGCAUACCAUCGGAUGUGCCCAGAUGGGAUUAGCUAGUAGGUGGGGUAACGGAGCACCUAGUCGACGAUCCCUAGCUGGUCUGAGAGGAUGACCAGCCACACUGGAACUGAGACAAGGUCCAGACUCCUACGGGAGGCAGCAGUGGGGAAUAUUGGAAAAUGGGCGAAAGCCGGAUGCAGCCAUGCCGCGUGUAUGAAGAAGGCCUGCGGGUUGUAAAGUACUUUCAGCGAGGAGGCGUUACUCGCAGAAGAAGCACCGGCUAACUACGUGCCAGCAGCCGCGGUAAUAC